GAUGAAGAACGUAGCGAAAUGCGAUACUUGGUGUGAAUUGCAGAAUCCCGUGAACCAUCGAGUCUUUGAACGCAAGUUGCGCCCGAAGCCAUUAGGCCGAGGGCACGCCGGCCUGGGUGUCACACACCGUUACCCUCGCGCCAACGUCCAUCGUUGGCCGCGGCGCGGGGCGUGCGCUGACCUCCCGCGAGCGGGGUCUCGUGGUUGGUUGAAAAUCGAGUUCGCGGUCGAGGGUGCCGUGAUGAAAUGGUGGAUGGGCGACGCCCGAGGCCAAUCACGCGCGACUCUGUCCGACUCGGACUCCUGGACCCCUUCGGCGUCUCCGGACGCUCUUUGGCGAGACCUCAGGUCAGGCGGGGCUACCCGCUGAGUUUAAGCAUAUCAAUAAGCGGAGGA
rnacentral:misc_RNA from 1 species